AGUGAACGCUGGCGGUAGGCCUAACACAUGCAAGUCGAACGGCAGCACAGGAGAUCUUGCUCUCUGGGUGGCGAGUGGCGGACGGGUGAGGCAUGCAUCGGAAUCUACUCUUUCGGGGGGGAUAACGUAGGGAAACUUACGCUAAUACCGCAUACGACCUACGGGUGAAAGCCGGGGACCUUCGGGCCUGGCGCGAAUUAAUGAGUCGAUGCCCGAUUAGCUAGUUGGCGGGGUAAGAGCCCACCAAGGCGACGAUCGGUAGCUGGUCUGAGAGGAUGAUCAGCCACACUGGAACUGAGACACGGUCCAGACUCCUACGGGAGGCAGCAGUGGGGAAUAUUGGACAAUGGGCGCAAGCCUGAUCCAGCAAUACCGCGUGGGUGAAGAAGGCCUUCGGGUUGUAAAGCCCUUUUGUUGGGAAAGAAAAGCAGCUGGUUAAUACCCGGUUGUUCUGACGGUACCCAAAGAAUAAGCACCGGCUAACUUCGUG
rnacentral:rRNA from 1 species